AGGAAGGAAGGAAGGAAGGAAGCUAAGCAAUAUAACCCUGUGGCAACAUUUGUAAAAGUGACUCUGAGAAGACAGAAAGAUCCUCUAUGAGAGACUGGUGUCCCCAGGAAUUGGCGAGGCCUGCUGAGGAUCAUUUGGGUAAAUGUCAUGGUCACGCGGCCCCAUUCUCUUCGCUGAGCUCCGGAUUUCCGUAGCCAAUUGUCUGCUGGACAUUCCUCCCUGAUACAUCUCACAGAGGCUGUGGACAGGAGCACCGAGAGCCACUUCCUGGAGCAUGCUCCCCACCCCCGCAGCCUGUGGCUUCAGCCUCUGCUUCUGCAGACAGCGGUGGAGGAAGUCAGGACUGUCCCUUCUGACCUGAACACCUACCUCCAAGUCCUCCCUGUCGCCACAGAGACCCGGCAAUGCAAGUGAGUCCUGUUUGACCUCGUCAAUCAUCGCAGACUGUAAAGGUGACUCGGAUGCUCAAGAAACGAGCAUACCCAGCAGUGGGCCCCAGACUUCUCGCAGGCCCAGGUCCUCCUGGGUGCACAGAGACCUACCAGACAACGGUCCGGCUGCACUGGUGUUGUGAGAUGCCUGUGUCAGAAGACACUGAGUUCCUCACUCGCCUCCUAUCAUGCCGAUGAUCACAGGAGAAAGAGCAGGGCACAUGCAUGCCAGCAUGCUGAAGGGAGGCCAAAACCCAUGCUUGAAAACCACAGGUCCUGUUCUAGGAGCAGGAGAUAUAUUUAGCCAAGCAGGAUGUUUGUGGGUAAACCAACAUUUUGCUGUAAAUAAAAUUCUGCAAACUCGGGACUUUGAGAAUUGCAGAAGCUUACUUUGCCUGCGUAUUGGCAAGAGAGCUAUUUUCCUAACACAAGCUCACCAUGACCCUCAUUCAGAGAUGCGCUUGACGCCGAGGGUGGUGCCUUUUCGCUAAGGGGUGCUGUCAGGGGAUUGAGUAGGAGCCUGAAGAGCUAGGAGUAUCUUCUCCCUGGGCAGACCAGCAGGCAGACCCUGUCCCUUCACACUACAGUGGCACGUGAUGGGCCCCACUGCCCACCUGGUUCUGGUGUCCAGGCUGAAGUCCUCGUGUGACACUCCAAACUGUUCUGGCAAGGAAGGCUCACGGGUUCUGACCUACACUCUGAAACUGACCAGUAGUGAUAAACUCCGCAUGGACUUCAGCCAUCAUUGCGUACGUAAGAAAUACGUGUUGCACACAGAGUGCUUCUCUACAUUCCCAGGUUUGCCACUCCCCGACUUUUGCUGAAGCAGGUUUCUACUCCAUCAGUCCCACAGAUGUGUUCACAGGGCCAGCACUGAGUGUGGUGCUGGGGAAGGCAUGUGCUUGGAGGCAGCCCUGUGAGAUGGCACAGCCUAGGGGAGGAGUCGUGGUGGGGAAGACCCUGGCCACGCAUGAUAGAGGAAGCGUGGCCACACAGUCUUUGCUGUCCCUGCCACAGCAUGGUGCUGUAAGUCUCCUCCUUCCGAGUCUGUGCAGACUUAUGUGACACAUUUGACCCAACAGAAAUGCAGCAUUUGUGGUGUGUGAAAGUUCCAGACCAGGCCACAGCGAGCUCCGUGGCUUCGGCUGUGUCUCCUGGAGCACUUGCUCUCAGGACCCCCUCUCUCAGAGCCCAGGCACCACGCCGUGAGAGAGCCCCAGCCACAGAGACAGGCUACGUGUAGGUGCUUUCAUCAAAGUGCCACCUGUGCCUCCCCGCAGCAGUGUCAGGCCACCAGCUUGGACAGGCAGCUCCAGCCUCCAGUGGAGGCUUCAGAGGACAGCAUCAAACAGCAUCCACAAAGGAGACCCACCUUGUGAAAAGCGCCUAGCCAAGCCCUGCCCAAAUCCCUGGCCUGUGCAAUUGUGAGCAAAGCAAUUCAAUUUGGAGUGGUUUUAUGCUGCAGUAGGUGACCAAAGCACUAUGGAAGUGAAUAUCAGGAGCCCCUCACUGGGAUGUCAGAAGACAUUCAAGGAAGGUUUCCUGGAAGAUUUAGUACCUCAGGUGGUACAGGAGAAGGUGAGAUGGAGAGAAAGCAACCCCAGUCUGAAGACGCAGUGGUAAGAAAGGGUCAUUCCCCUGGGCAUGUGUGGUCUGCUGGGGGAUGACAGCCGAGGUGAACUUGAAGCAGAGGACACUCAGACAAGCUGCACUCUGAAUCCCGCUACGCUGACCGCAGCACUUGCUGAAGAAGCCGCCUCGCCACGCCCAAGCCCUGCAGAGGGAAGGACUGAGGAAGGCAGCUCAGAGGCCUCAGGCAGCCACAGUGUGCAUGCUUGUCUAUGACUCACAGCUACGACGUGGCCUGUGCUGCUGCAGCUGCUGAUAAGCCUCAAACCUCAUAUACCACUCUCUUCCGAGGAUUUUUUAAAUACACAAAACUGGGAGUGAGAGGGGUAUUUAAUUCCCCUACUAACACAUGUUGGGCGCAGCUGGAGCAGCCAGGCCCACUGUAGCUGGGAAGAUGCGGUGCCUUGAGGUGCAGGCACUGCUCACUGCCACAUGUGAGCACAGGUUCUGAGGGUGAAAGGUCCCUGGUAUCUGGCCAGAGUGUUAGACUCUGGAACAUAAGAAGCCCCCGAGGUGGUGGAGAAGGUCUAGCCAGGCUCCAGACUGGCUUCACAGAGGUAAUGCUUUUUGGUUUGAAAUCCGUAAGAGCGCACUACAACUUCAGGGCAAGCUCCAACAGUGCUUCUCAAACUUUAAUGAGCACCCAAAUCAUCAGGGGGCGCGGGGGCAGUGGGUCGCUUACUAAAAUGAAGAUUCUGCAUCAGGAGGUCUGGGGCGGUGACACGAUUCUGUGUUUCUAACACGUUCCUGGGUGAGGCUGAAGCCACUAGUCCAUGAAGCACACUUUGAGUAGCAAGAAUGUGGAGGAACUGUCCCAGGAUGGGCCAUGAUUUACCUGAAUUCUCACAGUGGCUUAGACAAUGGAGACCUUGUCCACAACU
rnacentral:lncRNA from 1 species